rnacentral:lncRNA from 1 species
AACUCAGCUCCUAGGCGCCGCGUCUCAGCGGCCAGCUGCACCCGCUUGAUGGGCGAAUCUCUCUCUUCUCCUGAAUGGGGUGAGUGGCCCCUGGCGGAGCUCAAGCCUGGCUUCUUGGAGGAUCAGGUCUGUCUUCUGCUUCCUGUGGGGCCAGGCUCUUCCUUCUGGUUUCUCCAUUUCCUAAAGAGGAAUCCAUUUCUAUUAAUGUGGAAGAAAACUGGAAACACAGAUCAGGCACCUACUUGGAAGGCCUGUUUAUGCUCGUUUGUCUCCAUCUUCUCACUAUCGUCCUCACCUACUCCUCAGCUCACCCCCAGCUGGCCUCUGCCCUCCAUCCCAGGGAACCUGCUCCAGCUGAUGGCAACGCUUCCUUAGUCAUGGCGCCGCUCAGCCUUCACCUCUCUAGUUUCUCCGCAAGACUGACCCGGUUGACACCCUUCUAGGAGCUCUCCUCCCUGGCCUCCUGAAGUCCAUAUUCUCCUGGCUUUUCCCCUAAGCCCACCUGCCCCUCCACAUCCUCUCGUUGAAGGAGAAGAGCUCUGGAGCCACCCUGGGCCUCUUUCCCGCAUGGCAUUCUCUCCUCCAGGCCAGCUCUCCCGGGCUUCUGCUCCCUCCCCAUCCCCACGCACGAGCUUGGGCUCAGGCUCUCCCCUCCAAUCUGAACAGGCCCGUCCCCCGCCAAGCUUCCCCACGGGAGACCCUCACAGGCUCCACGGGUCCAAAACCCCACGGGUCCCGCGGAUCUGCGGCUGCUCCUGGAUCCCUUCCCGCCGCGGAUCCCCGUUCACCCGGCUCUCCGCCCAGACGCCGGGCAGGCCCCGACCCUGCCCCCUGCACACGCCCGGUCCCCCAGCCCACCCCCCAGCUCUCUCUACACCCCCUCCUCUGCUCAUGCCGCAGCCCCGGCCCAAGGCCGACCCAGCAUCCAAGCCUCCCCCAGACCAGCUGGGCCUGGGCAAUCGGCGUGCUCCGCUUCACACCCUCGCGGGUGCAGCGCGGUCACUCCUCCGGUGUCCACCCCUAGGAGGUCUGAGGUCAGGAGGAAGAGCGCCAGGGCAGCGCUGUCCCUGGGUUCUGGCGCACAGACCGAGCCUGGGGACGAGCGAGGUCAGUCCACACUCGUCGGAACUUGAGAACCAGAAAACGAGAGCGAGAGCGCGCUUUGACCUUCUCUUCAGGGAUGGGAGGCUCUGGGCCACCGUCCCCAUCCGCCACACACAACAUGGCGGCGACCUGCGCCCUCUCCCGACUUCCGCUUCCGGUUCGGGGACACGUCACUUCCUCUCCGGUUGCCGUGGAGCGCUUUGGAAGCUAAGCGUCCUGCCUCCUCUGCUGCUUUGCUCUCCGCGAGUCUCGCCUCUGCUCCGGGGGGCGCGGAGCGAGCGGCUCCGAGGCUCUGCCGCCGGCGGCUUGGCGGUGUGUUCAUUCAUUGACUGGGCCCCCCAUCCCCCCACCUGCUGUCUGGGAACCUGCCCUCCUGUUUCUGAGACCACAUCCGGCGUGGGAAGAAGUCUUGAUUGGUUUUCAUGGAUGGCAGGCACCAUUCUUCACGCUUCUCACCCUUCUAUUGAAAUGGCAGUGAAAACUCAAGUGGAGGAAGCACUGAUAAAGGGGCAGCAAAGGCUACAGGAGACCAGAGUCGUCGACGGGUGGUCAAACAUGACGAUCUCUUGUACCUGAAGCAACUUGAGGAUUUUGGCAUCCUAAGAGGCGCUGUGGGACUUGAAAGCAGUGGAAAAUUUGCCAGAGAUGAUAGGAAAGAUGGUCAUCAAAUGAAUAUCCCCUGGCUUGCCCGGUGACCAGAGCCAUAACCGUCAGUGGCCACCUUGGCACUGGAACAGGCUGCAGAGCUCGCCCUUCCUCAAACCAGUCCUCAUGUCCCCACAUUGUUUUGCUUAGUUGUUUUAUGUGGUUUCUGGCCUGAUCCUUUUCUUGUUUGUCUGUUUUUUGUUUUGUUUUGUUUUUUGUGGGGGUGCAGCAGAAGCCCCCCAGGUAGCUGGGAAGUUCAUGGAAUCUUCCUGUUGGCACAGCGUUCACUGUGGCUUGUGUUACAGUGUGGAGCGAGCGUGACCAGGCGUUUCUCAGCCGCCCUGUCACCUACACAGCACCCUGCAGCUUGACUUCUGAAAGUCGAGAGAAGCAGGUUUGAACAACUGUUUUGUGUCGCAUAGAAAGGGCAUUUCGUUCGAUAACAGGAACAUAGCUUUUGUGCUAAUAAAAAUGCUUUAAAAAUUAGCGUGUGAUUUUUUUUUUUUAAAGAUUUUAUUUUUUCCUUUUUCUCCCCAAAGCCCCCCGGUACAUAGUUGUGUAUUCUUCAUUGUGGGUUUUUCUAGUUGUGGCAUGUGGGACGCUGCCUCAGCGUGGUCUGAUGAGCAGUGCCAUGUCCACGCCCAGGAUUCGAACUAACGAAACACUGGGCCGCCUGCAGCGGAGUGCGCGAACUUAACCACUCAGCCACGGGGCCAGCCCCUAGCAUGUGAUUUUAAUCAUUAGCAUAUAAUUUUAGUUAUCAAUUGGUUCAUAACAAACAGACUAAUUAGGUACCCCACUCAGUCGUUUAUCUAAAUGAAAAGUUCUCCUAAAUCGUAUUUGUGAGCAUUGAUCAAAGAUAAUGGGAAAAAGAGAUUAAGAUGAAAAUCAUGGAUUACAUUUUUAAUUAGUCUGCCCCCUGAACAAUUGCUCGGUGUGACACGGUGACUGAUGGGUUACUUAUGCCUCCCAGGAAAGACGUGGCUGCGCCACCAAACCUCUGAGCAUAAAAGUGUUUUAUGAAAGACUGAAUGUUUUAUUCUUUGUUCCUGGCUAACAAGGAAUUGAAAAGGAAGUCAACGUCUGGGAUCUCAUAGUCCUUUGUGUGAUGAUACAUAUAAAGUAUGAGACGGGGGCUUCUGUCACUUCAUUAACUAAUAUCUCAAACUUAACAUGUCUAAAAUAAAACUCCAUUUCCUGCCCCAACCUCUUCCUCUCCUAGGGUUCUUAUUUCCAGUGGCGCCACCAUUCGCCUGUGUGCUCAAGGCAAAACCCCAGGAGCAAUGUUGGUCCCUCUUUCUCUCAUUCCCCGCAGCUUGUCCUUCAACAAGUUCUAUUAGCUUUUCUCCCCAAAUCCAGCUCCUGUUCUCACCUCUACUGCCCCAGCCCAGCCUCUGUCAUCCUUCACCUGUGAACUGCAGCACCCUCUUAGUCUGGGCCCCCCACUUGUAAUCUCGUGACCCAUUUCCACCCUCCCCACUCCAGUCCGUUCUCCACACAACAGCCAAAAUAUUGGUUAAAACGUAAGUUAGAUUCUUUUACUCUAUCUAGAACCACUCAUUGUCUUUCUACACUAAUUGCUGAACCCUUCAAGACCUUACAUGAUCUGGAUUCCUCUGGGACCACUCUCUUCCCCUCCACUCACUAUGAGGCACCACACUGUCUGUCUGUCUGUCUUCCAUCUGCCAGGUUUGGACCUGCCUCAGGGCCCUUGCACUGAUUCUUCCCUUGGCCUGGAAGCUUUCUUCCCUCAAAUGUUGGCAGAGCUGGAUCUCCCAUGUUUAGGUCUAAGCUUAAAUGUCACCUCCUCAAAUGGGUCCCUCCUUGGCUGACCACCCAGGCUAAAGUCACCCCUUAUUACGCCCUAUCACGCCACCCUUGUUCAGUUUCAUCACAACACUCCUCAUUAUGGCUGUUUUCUUGUAUCUUUCUUUCUUUGGUUAUUGACCAUCCCCCCCUGCUAAUAUGUAAACUCAAUGAAAGUGAAGCUCUUGCCUUGUGUGCUACGUGACCCCAGGGCCCCACAUGGUCCCAAUGCAUGAGUGGAUGAUUCCGUGAACGAAUGGAUCCUGUCGGCACCAAGGCUGUUACCACCUCAUCUCAAGAUGAAACAGGAAGGCUGGGGAAGAUCAGGGGACCGAAUACCACAUAGAGUGGACCUUAAAACACGAGACGUGGGCAAGGACACGGAAUGGAGAGAGGCAAGAGAAACAUUUGGGCUCAGGGGCAAGGGGACAGUGAAGGAAAAUGGAAAUGAUCCCGUACAACUCUACAGAUACGUCUGGAAACCCUGAAGCUAACACAGGCCUGCGCCCGCACACAGGCACUCGCGCACAGUCCAGCCGGAAGAACGGUGUCUCCGAGUGUUUGCUCUCUACCUGAGUCUUACAGAACACUUCCUGGAGAGAUGCUGAAGCUUCCGUGUCAAAAGGCUCUGAUUCAGAGGUCUAGGUGGGGCCAUGGUACGCGUGAGCUGGUGUCAUUCUCGGCCAGGACAGUAAGGCUGCAGUGGAUGCUACCAGCUGGGGGAAGGCAGCACAGCAUCCUGCCAUCAUUCUGUUAAACCCCCCGUGGCUGAGCCUCAGCAACUUUCCCUCCACGGCCCCGGUUUUCCUCAAAUAGAAAGUGAAAACCUUACUUGGACAGCUGUGUAAUUUUAAAACUCAAACUUUGUUUUUUGGCCCUGAGCUAACAUCCACUGCCAGUCUUCCUCUUUGUUCUGCUUGAGGAAGAUUGGCCCUGAGCUAACAUCUGUGCCAGUCUUCCUCUAUUUUGUACAUGGGACGCCGCCACAGCAUGGCUUGAUGAGCAGUGUGUAGGUCCACGCCUGGGAUCCGAAUUCACAAACCCCGGGCCGCUGAAACGGAACGCGCGAACUUAACCACUGCGGCACCAGGCCGGCCCCCCACCCCCACUGCAUGUGGGGUCCCCUCCUCCCUGAGGGGCCAGGACCAUGUUUUUUAGAUGAGCCUAAGGCUAUGUCCCAAUUUGGCAAUUCCACCUAAUUGACAUAUUUUGUCCAAAAAGCAUUUGACCAUUUUAUGUCAUCUAAUAUUUAUAUUGAAAAUGGAUGAAAAUGUAGGAGCAAGUUAUGCUGCUGUGAAACGCUGCUCCGAUUUAUUCUCUUACUCUGGGUUGGACUGGAGGGAUACAGAGGAGAGAGUGACUCUGCUUUUGGUACUCAGGUUAAAAAAAAAGGUAAAAAAAGGAGCUUAGACUUCAGUCCGUUCAUAAAUCUUUCUCGUCCCCCACUGGUCAGUCAGGUUCCCAGGUUUAGCCCUCUCUCUUCCCUGUGCCCUUUGCUUGGACUUUUGUCAAUCCUUUUCCCCUGUGAGGCUGCCCUUGACGUUUUUUUUUAAACUGAACUGUGAACUUUGUUUGGAUCUGAUCCAGGGCCCCACAUUGCAUUUAGUUUCCGUGUCUCCUUAGUCUCCUCCAGUCUGGGACAGCCCAUCAUUAUUUCCUUGCCUUUCACAGCCUUGACACUUUUUUUUUUUUUUUUGAGGAAGAUUAGCCCUGAGCGAACAUCUGCCACCAAUCCUCCUCUUUUUUCUGAGGAAGACUGGCCCUGAGCUAACAUCCAUGCCCGUCUUCCCCUACUUUACAUGUGGGACGCCUGCCACAGUGUGGCUUGAUAUACUGUACCUAGGUCCACGCCCAGGAUCCGAACCUGGGAACCCCGGGCUGCUGAAGCGGAGUGCACGAACUUAACCACUGCGCCACCAGGCCGCCCCCUGCAGCUUUGACACUUUUGAAGAUACUGGUCAGUUAUUUUGUAGAUGGUCCCUCGAUUUGGAUUUGUCUGAUAUUUUCUCAUGGUUAGACUGGGGUUUUGAGGUUUCUGCAAGAAAACCCCAGAAGCGAUGUGCUCGUGCACCAUGUGUGGGGGCACACAGUGCUGAUAUGUAUUCUUACUGCAAAUGAUAACCUGGAUCACUUGGUUAAGGUGGUGUCUGUCAAGCUUUUCACUGGAAAGUGGAGAAUUCCAUUUGUAAUUAAUACACGUUCCGGGGGAGAUGCUGUGAGACACCCUCGGCGUUAUUUGUAACCAGUGUUCCUCCUGUGUGUGUGUUGGGAUGGAGGUGGGGCCAGCUGUGGGUUUUGUUCGGUGCCCGUUCCAAGAACAGAUCAGAGCUUGUGAUAAUGCUGCACGAAGUCAGAGCUGGAGAAACCUCUGCUGUGAUGAGAGAACUGCUGCCGCAUCAUGAGACCCAGAGAGGAAAAUGUGCCGAUAUGGCACGUUUCUGUUACGUGUCGGGGAGGGCACACGCGUUGUGAAUGGGACGGAGUGCUUUUUAUCCGCGAGUUCAUUCAGCAAAUGCUUGUUCAUAAAGGAGAACACGUUUCAAGUGUCCGCAGUUUGCCAGGCACCGGACCAGGCUCCACAUCUGUUAUCUCAGUUAUACGACACUUUAAAAUGGGUCGUCUUACCCAUUUUACAGAUAAGGGUCCUGAAGCUCGAGGAAGGAAGUUGCUCAGAGGCGAGUGGCAGGGCUGGGACUUGAACCCAGGCCUGUCCAACUCAGAAGCGUGUGCUGUUUCCACAGCCCCAAGCCUGCUCUCCUACUCCGCGCCAAGCACUGCGAUAAGCGCUGAGGAUACAGAAGCGUAGACACGUGUUGGAGACGAGCCCGUGCUGCUGCACAGGAGGCCGGGGAAGAGGCUUGACUCUCUAAGCUGGAGCUGGAUGCCAGACCUGCCUGAUUCCAGAGCCUGAAGCUGCCCUCCAGGACGCUCCAGAUGACAGCGUACAGACUCCAGCAUCCUGGCCGCCGACGGGACCGUGUGCCCCUUGUCUUCUUGUCUGUAGAAAGGACGAUCGUGUUUACACCGUGCCUGAUGGACGCCGACAGCAGGUCAUUUGUGGCAAGCUUUUUCUGCUCAAACCAAAGGGUCUUUGUGCAGUUUUUUUUUUUUCAGCCGUCUCUCCCUCGCAGUCAAUCCAUGUCAACAGAAGGAAAGUGGAAAGUGAGGAUUCUGAAUCAUUUGUGACACAGAAAGUGCUCCCGCGGACACAAGCGGGCUUCCUGCCCUAAGAGAUAGGGCACACGGCAGGUCAGGUCACCCUGCCCCUGGCUUUCGAUGUGAGUUCAAUGCUUAAUAAAUGGCAUUUGGUGCUGCUGCCGAUAGUCUGUGGCCUUCGUGUCGCAGGGCAUUUGCUGACCUGUCCAGUGAAGGCGGGGACAGGAAAGGCCCGUCAUUCCCCUGCCUCCUCCCUUCUGACAUCUCCCUGGAUGCUCUCUGAUCUUUGCUCUUUCUAUUCCUUCUUGGUUUUGAUGGGGUAGCUGCACUCAGUGGUUGGAAAAGAAAAGGCAAACUGGUCAUUAAGAGGCCCGGGAGGAGGAUGGGGAAACCCAUCGGCAGUCUGGCUUAUUAGAAUUCCUCCGCUUUGUCCCUACCCUGUAUGACCGAUCAUCUUGACUCUGCUAGUGUUGUCCCGGCAGAGGCAACGAGAAGGACGACACGGUGAGAAUAGCUGUGGCUGUGAGGGACAGUGGGCUAUAAGGAGCAGGGAGAUGUUCUUGUUUUCCUGUGUUAAUUUGGACUCCGCCAGACCAGACCCAGCGUCAAGGAUUCAAGUGCAGGUAAUUUAUUUGGGAGUUAGAAGGGAAUUGGGGAGAAUGAGUGAGAAGCAGGAAAAGGAUAUUACCAAGCCAGCCACUACCAUGGGGGCUGGAGCUUGCUCCCGCGGGUGAACCCUGGGGAACAGUGGUGGAGGUCACAUGUCAGAAUUAUCCAGCGUUUCAUCCCACCCGGGGGAGGGAGCUGGGGUAUUUAUACACCAGCUUCUGAGCAUCACUGAUGGGGCUGCUCCCAGGAGGUGAGCUGGGAGAAAGCUCUCAGGCAGAGAUGCAGAUGCUGGCGGUUAAGUCAACCCGUGGGUGUUAAUGUGGAGAGGCCUGAGGUGGGGUGGGCUGGGCACCAGUAGUGUCUGUUACAUGCCCUUAAAACAACACAAAACAGCCACACCCCCUCAGGUUCCCCAUAUCAUUAAAUAGCACCACCAUCUUCUCAGUUUCUCUUGAAAUUUUCCUCAACACCUUUGAUUUUUUUGGCUCUUGCCUCACGUUCUGUCUAUCCCCACACCGUGUGAAGUCCAUCUUCAGAAUCUGUCUUGAAUCUCCUACUUCUGGCCGUCUCCACCAUUAUCUGUAGUGGAUUUCUGCAGCAGCUUUCUAGCCAGAAUUCUUGUUCACCUUCUUACCCCUACAUGGUAGUCAGAGUCAUCUUUUUAAACCUAAAUCAGAUCGCUUUACUCUCCAUCUCAAAACCAGCCAGUGGCCUCUUAUUACCCUUAGAAUAGAAUCUGAAGCCCUUACCGUGUCCUCACAGGCCCUGCCUGAUCUGGUUCCCGGCUACAUCCUUGACUUUGGUCUCCGUCCACUGUCCUCCUUGCUCACAGUGCUCCAGGCACAUUGGUUUUCUUGCCACACUCCUGCCUCAGGACCUUUGCACCUGUUCUUUCAACGUAGAACACUACUCUAGAUAUUCGUGUCGCUCAACCAGGUCUCUGCUCAGUAUCACCUCCUCAGGGAGGACUUUUCUUAAUUCUCUGUCUAGGAAAAGAGCCUUUUGUCAUCCAUUCCCUUAGUGUGUUUUAUUGAUCUUUUCCAUGGAAGUGACCGUGACCUGGGGCUCCUAUUAGUUUACAUGUUAUCUGUUGCCUCUUCCUGUGCUAGAAUGCAAGUGCCGUCAGUGCAAGGACCUUGUUUGGUCAAGUGCAUUACCCCCAGCUUCUAGAACAGCACCGACACAUAGUAGGUAUUCAAUAAACAUUUGUGCCGAGAGUGCCCAUCAGUCAAGAACUCUCAGACAGCAGAAAUUGCAAACCUAAGUUUGAUAACUGCCUGGCGGCAUCUUUCCCCAGAGCUGGCUCUAAGGUGGAACACACAGUCUUAGCAGAGUCAGGCAAAGGUCCUGGGGCUGCUUCCAAUAUGUUCUUGCCCGACAUCCAUGGUAGAUCUCAGCUUGAUCAUUUUCCUUUUUGUUCACCUUUCUGAGACCAAGAGAGGGAAAAUCAAGGUGUCAACGUGAUGUAAGUCGUAUAUGAUGAUGGGGACAAGGUGUAGUCUUAUGUUCGGUAAACUAGAAUGCAAGGGUGCUCACUCCCCCAGUGCCUGGUGCGACGUACGUGCUCACUCACUGUUGAGUGAAUUGACAGCGUCAUCUGUUUGGUGCUGUUAAGCUUUCUUUGUGUGCUCGUUGUUCUGCAGAAGGUGCCAUGUUAUAUGGCCCACACUCUUCAAGAUGCCAAAGAGUGAGGGGGUUUUCUCCAUCACGCCCCACCAAAGAGAAAAUUUCUGGCCUUAUCCACACCCAUCCCGCCUCAGACACACCAUCCCAUGAUCCUAGAAAUAGCCUAAGUGGACUCAGUUCCAGCUUUCGUGUGUAGUUUAAGGUGAUUUCACUUACUCCACUAUAAAAAUAAUACAGGCUCCUCGUAGAAAAAUCUAUUAAUUCCAGAAAAGUAAAAGAGAUGUGGAAGAAAAUAACACUGCUUCUACCCCCCAGAGAAACCACUGUUAACAUGUUGGUCUGUUUCCUUCUAGUGUUUUCUAUGUAUACUUUCAUAUAGUUUUCACAUAUAAUUUUCUCUCUCUUUUUUUUACUUAACAUCAUCGCAUAAGCGUUUAUUCUUAACGUUCAACAUUUUGUGAACAUUUUUUAUAGUUGGGGACUAUGACAUUUCCCUGUUGUAGACCACUUAGCUUGUUUUCUGUUUUUCGAAAUUAUAAGUAGAGCUGGGAUAAACAUCUUUUUACGUGUCUCUUUGCUGGCAUUGCUGAUAAUUUCUUUAGGACUGAGUUCCAGAAAUGGAAUAACCGGUUCUAAAGGAUGCGAACUCUUAAUGCGUUUGGUGAGAUUUCAUUCUGAUUCCUAAAACUGUUCGAAUGUGACUUCCAUAAAAGAGCUCUAGAAAAACAGAUUGCCUCCAAGAAUUUACUUCCAGUUUCAAAACGGUUCAGACCCUGAGUGUUUUAAAUGCGUGCGGUUUAAACGAGCACAGAAAUCUUGUGCAGCCUGCCUCCACUUCGGGCCUCUUCCCUCCCUAAGAAAAUGCAGCAGCCACAUUAUAAAAAUCUUUCUUUGGUAAACAACGUCUUUUCAUGUUCUCACGGAUUGUUUCUUAAGUCUUUCUGGCAGGUGUUGGGUUUAUGCCUAGAAUUAUGCACAGGGUUUUUACAUGCCUGUUUAUGACGUCGUAAGGGUUUAGUUAUGCUUCAUGGUUUUUUCAUUGCCAAGAGGAAGUCCACAUUUUAUGGCAGUGAAACCUGCUUUUGCAAGUCUGUCUGAGUCCUGCCUGUAAGGCCAGGACCACCUCGGCAGGGACCAGUCUUUGGAACAGCCUAUGAGUAAGGAGUUCUCUUCCCAAGGCUGGGCCAGCCUGGAAAGGACCUUGCCAAAGAUAGACAGUUUAUGAAUGGAGGGAAACCAUGGCUUUCAUAGGUAUGCGGAGUCAGGCGUGAUAUAACAUCAUGAUAUUCGGGAGACACAAGGUCCAGAAGAGUCAAGGGAUAGAGGAUGGUUUGGAAAGGUGUGGUCAGUCAUGCUACGUAAUCUCAUGCCUGCAACAUUAUUAAGCAGAAUGAGUCCAGCAUCUCCGUAUCGACCUGAACAGAUGUCCACGCUACUUGUUCAUUCUAAGCAGUGACUCGUAGAGAAACAUGUAUAGUUUGAUCCCGUAUUUGUAAACAGGGCAAAAAUUAGGGGUAGGGGAAUCUUUCCUAUCUACAUGAACCAAAAGAAAUAUGUGGAAGGACACGUGUCAGACUGUUGGCAACUGCGGCUCACUCAGGAAUGUGGAAUCGGGUUAGAGAAGAAGGAGGAAACCGUAGCUUCCUACCACACUGGUGAAUAACACAUUGCAAUGAGCAUGGAUUACUUUUGUAACUUAAAGAAAGGAGGAAAGCUAAAAUAAGAAAGACAGAGUCCUGGAGAGGACUGGAAUGAGGGGUGAGGUUGAAGACCUAGUUUAGUUAGGCCCUAUGCAGGGUUGGGUUCUCACUCUUGGCAAGGUUGGUGCAAUCUCCAUAGGCGGGCCCAGCUUCCCAGAAGAGUGGGGCUGGGCUGGGCUGGGCGUGUCGUCCUCCUGGCGGCUGUUAGAAAAAUUUACUGUGCUGGCAUUCACCUCUGAUAGCACGCUUGGAAGGGCUUCUGGAAAAAAUAAUCGAAAUGAUCCAGAGUCAGGAGUUGCUACCCUUCCUCUGAGGGUUUGAGAGAGGGUGGCCAGGGGUGGAGAGAAAAGCCCGUAAAACUCCGGAAUGGAAAAGUCUGAUUCGGCCUCCCCGUCAGAGGACACUUCCUCACCAUCCGUGAGACAGGCCCUGGGCCUUGAACUGGAGACCGUGCCCAGAGCUUUCUUAACCUUCUCCCCUUGGGAGCGAGGCAUGUGCUUUGAAGAGUGAAGGCCAGAAGCUACGCGGCUUUCCAGCCUGAUUUGUUUCAUAUUCUGUUUGUGAGUUAGGGCGUGUUUACAGUGAAAGAAUGAUUUAGAGAUGACGAGUCUGCUGGAAAUAUAAAGGUAUAAUUGAAUCUCAAAGUCUAUCAAAGACCGUUGUCUUACAUCUUGGGGGAUGACAUUUUAUUACAGAGGCCAGCUUGGCUCGUGGAUUCAGUUUCUUCUCUUUCUCUUCCCCCAAUCAGAAGUUGCAGAAAAGCCUCCGAGGGGAGUCAGGAUGCAUGAGAGGGGUACCAAGGGGAGGUGGCAUUGGGUGGCCGUGCAGCACGGGAGCUCGGGAAUUGCCACAAACUGUGUCACCCCCAGCAAGCAUCUUACCUCCUCGAAGCCUCAAUUUCCUUCCGUGUCAAGCGUGAUGCUGCUGCUUCCUAGUUGUUAUGAGGAUGACAUGAGGUGGUGCCUCGCACAGGCCUGACACUUUGUGGUAAGUGUCCCAUUGAGUGUUACAAUCAGAACUUUGUCAUUCCCCAUUCUGCCAACUUGCCUUCUUUCCUCAGGCAAAUCGGUUCAUUUGUGUAGUCCCCUCAUUCCUCCUAUGCCAACAGAAGCCCAAAAAAGUGACAAAAGCAGCUGAACAGCAACAACAAUCCUCGAAAUAACCCACCAAUUCCUCUCUAGAAGGAUCGUGUCAUUUCGGUGGGGACCGCUCUCCCCAGUGAGGGGGCCUUUUCUCUCCAAAGAGCCCAGAAUCUGCUCCGCAGGACCGCUAAAAGUGGUCUUGUUCUGUGGUCUGAUCUGCUGGUGACCUCUGUCCACACCCUUCUGAACCCGGCUGGGGGCCCUGGCACAGUCAGGCCACAUCAGCCGCCAAAUAGAAAGGCCCUUUCUUUUGAGAAAAUAGCAUCACACAUGUUGCCAUCAAGAAAAUGAAAGGAUGCUCAGUGGCCUGGUGUCCAGCUUCUCUCGUGGCCUCUUGAAACAAUUUUGUGACCUGAGAAUGGCAGGAGACAAAGGCCUUUCCAUCUGAUCUGCUCGCCGGGCUGACGUCGGACCGCGGGGGGCCUGUGUCCCUCUUUCCGCGGUACCACAAGGAUUGCUCUCGCCACAUCUGUCUCUUCUCUUUGAGCAGGACAAGGCAGACCGGCAGGCAGAGGGAUGUAUUUCAACUGCCCUUGACUCGGUUUAUAAUCACAAACAUGAAAGGAAGGGAAAGAGAUGGAGUUUACAGGACUGGCUCUUUGUGCAGCCUAAUUUAUCUCUCUCCCGCAGCCGUGGGCUGAGCGGCUCCCCUUUUUGUUUCCGAUGCGGGGAACUGAAAUAUGAAUCUAUGUUGAUGAGAGAAUAAAGGAAUUGAAAGAGGCAUAAAUCUUAUCUUCUCACAACCCUGGAAGAUCAGCUUCUUUUGAAGAAGGGGAUUAUGCUUCUGUAAUUAACUGCCUCGCAGCUCCCGGGGAGGGCUCAGAGCUGAAUAAUAGCACCCAGCGAAGAUGGAUGAAAGGCGGUGGGCCGGGGCAGCGGCUGAUCCCGGACAAUGGUCUCGGGGCUUGACAUCCCUUCCCAGGGCCCGGCUCUCAGAGAGUCGAGCCAAGAGAUAUUUGUUCCCUGUCUAUCAGCAUUCACAGCCGAGAGAAUGGAAUUCCAGAACAAACAGCUCCUCUGUAGGCUGGGAGCUGCAAUGAGGGCUGUUGAAGGGCCCGGCCAGGUUUUACACCCCUUCGUGUUCCAGCCAGUGUCUGGUACCCACGAGGUGCUUCUGAAACGCAUGUUGGAGGUGAGUGCCACUUAUCAGCUGUGAGGUCUUAGGGAAGUUGCCUAACUUCUCUGGUCAUCAGUGUUCCUGUCCACAGAAUGCAGGGGGUCUUGUAGAAUUCUUGUGAGGAAGAAAUCAGAUCACGGGUGUAAACAAAUCACCUCGGACAGUGUCUGGCGCGUGGCGUGCGAUCCAUAGAUGGUGGCUGUGGUUAUUACGUUGUGGAAUAAAAAUUGAUUGUGAACUCAUAGCCAUUAUAACAGUAAGUGUUUGUGAGGCUUUGCACACGCACGGUACCCAUUAGUGCACGGAAGCCUCACACCAUCCAUAUCAGGAUGCCUCCACGUAGGCACGAUGCCUCUCCCCAUUUCACAGAUGACAAAACAGCCUCAGAGAGGACGAGUGACCUGCUCAAGGUAAGGGGCCAUGAUGGAGACCGGAAGCCAGGUCUUCUUUUCCCUGUCUCUCGCCACCAUCCGUCUCCCCUGGGUACCAGCUCACGGAUGCUCAGCCCGGUUCUCUGCAUUCAUCUGUCCGUCACUCUCCAGGCCUCCCCACCCAGGAUCAAACCACUGGGCCAGCUUUGUGCCUAUGUCCCCUCCUGGCCACUUGCCAGCAUCACUGAGUUCUGGAAGAUUCUUCUUUUAAGAUGUCUCCAGAAGCUCUCCCUGCUCAAUCCUGCUGCCACACGCGCCGGCCCAGACCCUCAUCUCGAGACAGCCAGGCUUCCCACAGCGAGCAGGCCUCUGAGUGGUCUCUCAGGGCCAGUUCUCUUUCCAUCAUCCUCCACAUGGGUGCCAGAGGAGCAGCCCCCAACCCCACUUUCCUGUCCCUUCCCUCGAGGGAUCAGCAGCCACUCCCCACUGCGUGUCAGAGCGGCUCCACAUUCCUGUCGUGGCAUUCAAGGCCCCUCAGCUGACCCGCCCAGAUUCGUCUCUUCUUACUCGCGGCAGAAUGCCCUGCUCCAGCCGAGCCUGCCUUAGUCUCCCUCAGGAGAGGCCUUAGCCCAGGUCACACAGUGAAUUAGUUUAGAACUGAGUCUCAAACCCAGCUUUUCCAGCUUAGAAGCCAGGGCUCCUUCAUGAGACCAGUAGACUACACUGCCCUCUACUCCGUCUACACUUGGGUCCCGGACCAGCGCCGUUCACCAAAGGGACAGCGGGAAGCCCUGCUGUGGGAAAAGACUCUGAGUGAGGCCCUGAGGGCAGGGUUGUGGUGUGGGGGGCUGGGUGGUAGCAGUGGGGCUGGAGACUGAGAUUUAAGAGAUUGUCCUGGAAAUCAGCAACUAUAAGGCAGAUGAAAAUGAGGCUGAUUACCAGUGGAAGCCAAGUGCCCUGGGAACGUAGCAAUCAGCCUCUCUGUUCUGGUGGGAGGUGGGAUCCAGGAGGGCUUCAGGGAAGAAGAGGCCAUGACUUGGGUCUGAAGAACCAGAAGGAUGCUGCUCAGUGGCCGUCAGGGCCAGAGCAUUCUGGGUUGGGGGAGCAGUGUGGACAAAGGCGAGGAGGCCAGACAGCCGGGGACACGCGUGGGGAACAGCACGCUGGCAGCCAGGGAGGCUGGAAAAAGCAGAGACACCUGGGUUCCAGUUCCGCUCUGCAUUUGUGCAAGUCAGCUCCGGGUUUGCGCAAGUCGCUGCGUCUUUCUGGAUCUUGGCCUCCUUAGAUGUGAACCAGGCAUAGUGAUAUUGCCUGUCUCCUGGGGUUAUUGUGAGGAUGAACCGAAACGGUGAGGCAAGACAUAGGGCCUGGCACACAGUAGGUGCUCAAGGAAAGGUCCUGUGUGGCUGGAGCUCCGGUGCUGCUGGACCACAGGGACAGGCAGGGGCUCGGGUGACCCUGUGUGUUUUCUUUUGCCUUCUAAUGGGCCGUCUCUCGUCCUGCCAGGAGCUCACCAGCUGGCCUGGGAGGGCUGCACGCCCACUCGUGGUUGCCAGGAUGUGUGGCAUUCCCGCGUCCAGAACGAUCUUCUGGUUCUGUCCUCGUCCUUGAGCGCUUUCCAGCCUGAACACAACCGGGGCCUGUGUUCCAGGUCCAGGAAGCUUUGCUGGCAGAGCCUGUGAUGGGGGGCGAGAGCUGGGUUUCAGCAGAAACAGACACUGAAAACAGCUGCUGGCUUCUCUGCAUUGGCAAACAGAGGAAGCCCUGCCGCUGCGGGCUUCGCGAGGGGAGCGAGCACACGGCGCCCAGCUCCCUGCAGCCCAUGGGGCCGGAAGCCAUCUUUUCGGGGACCAUGCAGCCUCCUCAGGCUGGGGCGGGGUGGGGGUGGCACGGAGUGAGCUAGAGGCUGGCCCUUCCUUCUGGGCGUCUGCACGUUUGAGAAUUCUACUGGCGCUUUCUGCCAUUUAAUAUGGGUGGGACUUGGGGUCAAUUCUUCACCCUCUCUGAAUGGGCCAGUCAGCAAAGGCAAUUCCUGGCACGUCCCUGUAUGCUGCUCCUCUUUAGGGAGGGGUUACCAAGCCCACCUACGCAUCAAAAUCACUUAGGGCAGCGGGCUAAUUAAAAAUUCAGAUUCCCAGGCCCUGCCCCAGACUCACUGAGUCAGGAGCUCUGAGGGCAGGGCCCGGAAGCGCACAUUUUAAUGAUCUCUCCAGGUGAUUCUGGUACAGGCAUCCUGGGAGCUACACCUUGAGAACCACUGCCUAUGUUCCAGCAGGUUCCAUGGGAAACCAGGAGAAAGAGGUAGUCGGAAGGAGGGGCUGAUCUGUGAUGCCACCACGCCACUGCUCUUCACAUACAUACCUACAGUUUUGCUUUUUGACUCUGGCUUGGAAACAGAUGCUCUGAGAUGUAUGUCUCCUUAGAACAGAUGCCAUCGCUGUUCUAGGAUGUAAAGAGUGAUACCCCAUCCCCUAGACUUACCUCAUUUCCAAUCCAUCCAUCCAUCCAUCCGUCCAUCCAUGCAUCCACCCAUCCAUCCAUCCACCCAUCCAUGCAUCCACCCACCCACCCAUCUAUGCAUCCACCCAUCCACCCAUCCAUCCAUCCACCCAUCCAUCCAUCUAUCAUCCACCCAUCCAUCUAUCAUCCAUCUGCCCAUCCAUCCAUCCAUCUACUCAUCCAUCCAUCUAGCCAUCUUCCAUCCAUCCACCCAUGCAUCCAUCAAUCCAUCAUUCAUCCAUGCAUCCAUCGACUCGUCCAUCCAUCUAUCAUCCAUCUGCCCAUCCAUCCAUCCAUCUACUCAUCCAUCCAUCUAGCCAUCUUCCAUCCAUCCACCCAUGCAUCCAUCAAUCCAUCAUUCAUCCAUGCAUCCAUCGACUCGUCCAUCCAUCAACCCAUCGUUCAUCCGUCCCUUCAUCCAUCCAUCAUCCACCGUUUUCUGAGUACCUACCUGCUCUGUGCCUGGCUCUGGCUGGGCUUUGGAGACACAGAGAAGAAGAAUGUCUGGUUCCUAGCCAGAAGUCCCCGACUAGACAAAUAGACACACAAAUCAUCCUAAUAUAGGGGAUCCAUCCAAUGAGCAGUGUCUCAGGUGAGUACAGUGUGGCACAAGGCAGAAAUGAUGGACCCCCCUGGCACGGAGAAAGGGUCAGAGACGGCCUCCAAGAUGGCAAUGUGUGAGUGGGUCAUGAAGAGUGAGUAGGAGUUUGCCAGAUGGAGUGGCUGGGUGUGAUGGUGUGUAGGCAGGUAGGUGAGUCCUGUGAACAAAAUCCUUUCACAUCCACUGAGAGCAGAGACCUGUGCUCAGGCCCCAUGGAGCCCACGUUCUGAUGCUCAUCUGCAGCUGCAACCUCGAAAUUCAGCGCCAUCACCUGGCAUUUCUGAGACAAAAGGAAGUGCUCUCUAGUGUGUGUUGCAGGCUCCUGGUGGCCGUCUCUGACACUGUAAAGCUAUUGUGGGAUUAGCAGGUGAACAGCCUCCCAAGUCGAGGUGCUCAGCAUCCUUCAGGAGGCUGGGUUCAGGUCCUAGCUCUGCCUGCAACUCGCUGUGUAACUGUGGGCCGGUCUCUGAGCCUCAGUUUCCCAUCUCUAAGGUGGAGAAUGGCUUCCAGCUCUGCCGGUUUCUGCCUGGAGCACAGCCCUGUCCCCCUGGCUGCAACACACUUAGCAAUGACCUUUCUCCCUCCUCCAAGCUCGCCCAUCGCAGCACAGCAGCCACCCACCAUGCCCGGGCUGGAGUGGAUCUGGUCGGAGCCCCCAGCUUAUUUCGUGCCUCCCCAGUGGAGUUCUGCAGGGAGGAUGCAAGGUGGAGGGGGGCCUGAAGGCGGCGCUGUGGCUCCAGGUGCCGAGCCGCUGCUGGCGCAGGGCUGUGUUUCCAGAAUCUCUGUGGAAACUGGCAGCCUGGCUGGCAGGUUCCAUCACCUCUUGGGGCCUCCCAGGCCGGCAGGCCCUGCUCAUUUGCACGAAGCAGCCAGCCAGCCCACCCGGGCCUCUUCACCUCCUGGGCCCCUUCAAACAUCCUCAAAGCUCCCUGUUUUCCUUUGGGUCCUCCCUUCAGGAGAGGAGGAGGAAGAGGGGGAGGAGGAAAGCCUGUUGUGAAUGGCCCGUGGGUGGAGCAGGGGUCUGUGGGGGUGUGUUCUGGUGCUCAUUGAAGGCAGGAGGGCUGCUGUUAAGUCAGUGACAUUAUGUGACAUGGGGCAUUUGGGUCACAACCUCCUUGACCCCCACGCCCCCCACAGUGGCCUGCACACCCAGGAAAUUUACCUGGUAUUUUGCAAACACUGCAUCCUGCUGCCUUCCCUCCAUUCAUUUGGGUCUGGUUUGGAGCCAAGCCAUCUGAUAAAGAAUCCGGGGGGGAGAGGAUGAUAGGGGACAAGAAAGGGAAAAGGGGAAAGGGCUCACAUUUGUUUAAAGUGCCCGCUGGCUGCCCAGCCCUCCCACAGGAGCUAGAGCAGCGAGGCUGGCACUGUCAGGAGCAGAUCCCUCCAGGCAAAAUCACAGGCCCAGGCCGAGCCCGCGCGUAAACCAGGCACCGGGGCAGCUGCUGCGGGAGGACGGUGGGGGCCCCCAGACCCCACCCCUCACCAGCCAUACCCUCCAGCCCCUCCCAGCAGCCUCUCUGGUGCUCCCACAAACCUGGAUCUAUAGCACCGGGCUCGUUAACCUGCAUAUAACUCUUAGAGGAAAUUUAUCCCCACUUUUCAAAUGCAAAAGCCGAUGCUCAGAGAGACGAGGCAACUUGCCAGGAUCACACGAUUCCUAAAGGUCAGAGCCGAGCUGUGGGUGUAGACAUGCACGGCUCCAGAACCCCUACUCUGCCCGGAAGAUGGUGGGGGCCCUGCUUCCUGAGGAGGGGCAGGAAGGACCAGGCCAGACACACACAGACGUGGUUGGGGCUGGGUAUCUGGGAAACUGCCCGCAGAGAAGGAACCCAGACCGGACAGGAGGGCGGUGGAAGAUGUGAGACACAUGGGCAGUGGUUCUGUGCCACCAGGGAGGUGAGCACUGAGCCCCAGGCAGGCUCCAGCGUGGCUGACUGCAGAGGACACCAGACAGCCGUGUGCUGCAGAUCCCGGAUCGAGCUUUCCAGCCCCUUCGUUUUGUUCCAGAACAGCCAUGGUUUGGGGCUGGAAAAUACGAACCAGAUCUCGGUUCCUGCUUUGCAGGUGGAGGGGAGAGUGUGGAAGAGCAGCCUGAAAGGCAAGAUCCCUUGAAAAGAAUAAAAAAAAAAAAAAAAGAAGUCCUUUGUUAGCUUGGAAUUUUUCGUUUGCUUGGAAUCUUGUAACGAGCAUAGGUUUGGAGUCAGAAAUACUUGGGUUCAAAGGUCGUGUGUCCUGGUUUGACCCGACUUCUCUGAGUCUCAGCUGCCUCCUUUGUGAAAUGGCAUCGCGAAGUCACUAUGUCACCGGGCUGCUGUAAAGAUGAAGCAAGUUCUCAUGCACAGGAGCAUCAAGCCUGGGGUGCGCCAUGCAAACGGUGGUCCUCCCCCUGCUCGCUCAACUUUUCCCAGAGCCAGCUGAAUUUAUGGCAUGUGCUAAAUGGAUUUGCUCCCAAGGGGCACUUAACGGCUGAGUUAGCCCUUCUUGUGGUCAGCUGGCUGAAACGCUCGUUUUCUCGUCUUCGUCUGUGAGAUUUGGUGCUCUGCUCCUCAGAACUGUAAAGUUACAGCCUCGGAGAGUUCAGGAUGGUUGAACCCAACGCCUCCAUUUCAGAGAUGGGGAAAUUGACUUGCCCAAGGUCACCCGGUGGGCCAUUGGCAGAGCUGGGCUGGAGCCCAUGUUUGCUGCCUCCCAGCCCCCUGCUUUGUCAUCCCAGGUGAGAAGGAGCUGCGGAGGCCCUGAGGAGGAAGAACCAUGGGUUGCUGUCUUGAUCUGUUCUGGCCCAUGAUUCCUACACUAGAAGACGACAGAGUGAGGGGCUCACUGAGGCAGGCCCACUCUGGUCCACGAACCCCAUCAUGGGGGGUCAUGUUUGGGGGAUGAAUGGGUCUCCAUUAUAGGUCUGAGAGCUCGGGAGCCAGGACCAGUCUCGUCAUCAGUCAGGGUCAGUGGCGGAGCAGCAUCCUACCCAGGCAUCAGGGUAUAAGGAGAUGGUCCAGCUUGGAGUGGAUCCCAUGCCUGGCCUGUGUGAUCUGGGCAGGGAAUUACUCUCUCUGAGCCUGUUUCCUCAUCUGAACCAAGGAGAAUAGAAGUAUGCACCUCAUAGGUUGUUGUGAAGAUUAAAUAAGGUCAUAUCGGGGCCAGCUCAGGGGUGCAGUGGUUAAGUGUACACAUUCCACUUCGGUGGCCCGGAGUUCACCAGUUCGGAUCCCGGGUGCGGACAUGGCGCCACUUGGUAAGCCACACUGUGGUAGACGUCCCACAUAUAAAGUGGAGGAAGAUGGGCAUGGAUGUUAGCUCAGGGCCAGUCUUCCUCAGCAAAAAAGAGGAGGAUUGGCAGCAGAUGUUAGCUCAGGGCUAAUCUUCCUCAGGAAAAAAAAAAAUAAGGUCAUAUCAUAAGAAGAAUAGCCAACACUUAAUGGACACAUACUGUGCGCCAGGUUGGGUUCUAAACUUUUUAGAUAUAUUUGCUUAUUUAAUCUUCAUAACAACUUGUGUUUUACUGCUGAGGAAAUGGACACAGAGUGGUUAAGCAGAGCCCAAGGACACAAAAUUGGAGAGGACAGGGCCAGAUUUUGAACCCAGGUCAACUG